AGAAGAAAGGAGGGAGGAAGAGAAGGAGGGAAGGAGGGAAGGAAGGAAGGGAGGAGGGAGGGAAGAAAGGAAAAAGAAUAAAAUGAAAGCUUCGUAGGUUUAUAGCUCAGUGGUAAAGCGUUCAACUUCCCAUGAAGAUCAUGUGUUGAUCCCGGCUUUAUAAACAGUCACUGUUGUGACUCCAGCUUGUUAAUGAGUGACACCAGCUUGUUAAUGAGUGACACCAGCACCCAGGCAGGUCUGGGUUGUUGUGCGAAGGAGAAAAGGGCCCUGGAGGGAGCUGUCCAUGGUUCCAAAUCCACCUACCACCAGGAGGACCCCUUGAUCCUGUCCCUAACCGUGGGUCAGAUAGGACUCAAAGCCCCAGUUUUCUCUGGCAAAAGGACUGCUCUGACCUGGAGUCUUGUAGCCUGUCUGGGCACUUGGAUGAGAGUAUAUGCCACACCCCAUCUGUCAGGUAUGUGGGAGGGAAUAUUCUCCCCACACUGCGUAUGGUGGGGGCUGCGUGGGAGGGCAUGAGGAAGAGCACUGUUCACACGGCCAGCCGGCCGGUGUAAGGACUGUGAGGCCAGGCGGUGAGGAAGGCGCCUAGAACUCCCUCACGGAAGGACCUGCUGCUUCCAACCCUUCCCUCAUCCCCACCCAUCAGUACAGAGUAAAUCUGAGCUCAGAGCAGCGCUGGUCCCCUGCCGGGCACUCCAAACUAAUUUUCUGGUACAUUAUACACUUGGCCUUUUGAACAAUCAAUGGCCUUAAAUGCUGUUUGGUUCCUGCAGCCAAAUCCAUGAGAAAUAAGACAUAAUCCAUCUGGCUGAUAUGACUGAAGCAAGGCGGGAAGGAGAGAGAAAGACAGAGCCCGGAGCUGCCAAGGGGGUCUUUGCUUGGCUCUGAGGGCGGGGAACUGGAGGGAGCUGCCAGCUCCGGAGAGAAUGGGCCUUUAAGAGAUAUUGAUGGCCGGCUAAUCACAGCACCGUUUGUCUCAAUGCCGCCUGCCCACUCUAGCUGUCACUCUGAGAGCUGAGCUCUGUGGGGGAAGGCUGGGGCGGUGCUCAGGAUUCUGAUUUGGUACAGAUGUCUUCUGAGCCUGGGUCUCUGUGUCUGGCUUAGGUCUCAGUCUAAAGCAAGAAAUGAGGGGCAGAGCUGGAGAGUAGAGUCUGGUCCUAAAAUAGGUUUGGGACUAUGUAUAGGGGCUAAUCGUUGCUCACCAGUUACAGUGUGACCCCUGGGGGGGUCUCACCUGGGGGCCUGGGCUGGCAGGGCUUAAAGUAUAGGAAGCGUCCUUUAGAGGGAGGGGCUUGACUCAGUUUCCCCUCUGAGAAGUAAGAGGAAAAGAAGAACUUGUUUCUCUCUUUACAAGGCCGAGACUCCUGGAAGGACAAACAGGUGCGCAGUUCAGACUGUGCCUACUGCUAUAGCCAGCCAGCUGGGCCUGUCACCCCAGGGACUCCCAACAUCCAAAGCUUCUCUCACAGCAUCUGGUUCACAAGGCCCCAGAUGACAAGAUGUGGGAGUCAGGUGCCUGAUCCAAGACUGGCUCUCCCCACCUGUCUCUCGAAGGGGUCACUGUCUGGAGAUGAAACUCAGCAGUGGGAUGAAGGCAUUUGGCCAUUUCCCUGUGAGAAAGAACCUGGGAGGAGAGAAGUGGUGCCCACUGGUGGUUUGGAGUCCCUGGUAGCUGUGGCCUACUGAGAUGAGGGGCAGGAAGUCCACCCCACCUGAAGGGUAUUUGGGAGGGUUUUUCUGAGCGAGCAGGUAAAAGGGCUGAGGUGGUGAGGGGUGGGAUGGGGUCCUGCUCUGCAUCUACCUGCAGGGAAGGGACCUGUCUAUCUAUCUGCCACUACAUUUCUAAAUACCACCUCAUACCCAGGUUGUUGCUUGUGCCACAUGUGAGACUCAAGGGCCACCUUAGUUGGCCCCUGGGGACAGAGUGACAUAGGAAGUUGCAAGGAGCCUAUCAAGGUAGGUGUCAAGGUGGAUGAGUCAGAGGCAAGAAGGGACAGGGAUCCCAGGGUAGGGGCACUGCUACACAGAGGGAGCCUCAAGAUGGUGAGCUCUGAGGGACAGUGAAGCAGGACCAGGAGUCUAUUUGGGCUGUGGAGCCCCCAUCUCCUCCUGUUUUCCUGGGCCACGGGUCUGCUCUGUGAAGCCUGGCCCUGCUUUGUCUGGUCCAGAGGCACUCAACUCUCAGUGGCUGCCACAGCAGUGACAUGAAUCACAAUGGCAUCUCUGAAAAGAGGGUGGGACCUGCACAUCACCCAGAAGGGUGAUUAUACUUUCAGCCUGUUCCACGAGGUGCAGGCUUGUCUAACAUGAUGUGUGCUUGUUCCUGCCAAAGAGGCAACUACAGAGCUGAGCUGGGAGGCCAGGGCUGGAGGGGACAGGGCUGCCUGAGGAACCAUCACCAAGGGACACCUGUCCCUCCUCAGGUCCUGGGAAUGAAGGUAAGAUGGGGGACUGAGCCAGAAGACCUCUGAAAGGGGGUACAGGGAAAGCUGGGUGUACUGGCUGGUUUUGUGUGUCAACUUGACCCAGGCUGAAGUUAUCACAGAGAAAGGAGCUUCAGUUGGGGAAAUGCCUCCAUGAGAUCCAGCUGUGGGCAUUUUCUCAAUUAGUAAUCCAGAGGGAGGGCCCCUUGUGGGUGGUAUCAUCUCUGGGCUGGUAGUCUUGGGUUCUAUAAGAAAUUGCUUGCUGAGCAAGGCAGGGAAAGCAAGCCAGUAAGUAACAUCCCCCCAUGGCCUCUGCAUCAGCUCCUGCUUCCUGACCUGCUUGAGUUCCAGUCCUGACUUCCUUUGGUGAUCAACAGCAGUGUGGAAGUGUAAGCUGAAUAAACCCUUUCCUCCCCAACUUGUUUCUUGGUCAUGAUGUUUGUGCAGGAAUAGAAACCCUGACUAAGACACUGGGUGUCACACAUCUGUGCUAAUCCUUGCCUAUCACUGUCACAAUGGCAGCCAUUCCUAAUACUCAAAUGGUGUUUGUACUUUUCAAAGUAACUCUCAUGGACUGAGGAGACAGCUUGGUUGGUAAGGUGGUUGCAUCGCAAGUGUGAGAACCUGAUCCCAGAUUCCCUACAACGCACAUAAAAAGCUGGACUUAAUGGUUCACACCUAUGAUCUUAACACUUGGGGAGGUGGAGGUAGGCAGUGAAUAUCUUGGGCUUUCUCCUUGUUGAUAUGAGUCUCCUGUUUCCUCUUCUCCUAAUCUCAUCUCAGGCCAGUUCUAGGUAGGUCUCCAGUCCUGAUUUCUUAAGGCUGGCCUUACCUCCUGAAACACACAAACACCUUCAUGUGUUGAAUGUUCCACUCAGACCACACUGGUCCCUCUGAGGACAUUGCUUCCCUGCCUUGCACACUGUGGCAGCUGCUGCCCUCCGUCCUUGUCCUUUCUUCCUUAGCCUAGGACUGGCAGCUGUUCUGCCUGAUGAUGCUUCCAGCCUACACUCUUGACCCCCACUUGGAUUCUGGGGAUAAAAUCGUUUCCUUCUCACCCCUUCCCAAGGUGGCUACAGUUCUUCCUUCUGUGAAGUUUCAAUUAAUUUGCUCUUUCAUUCAUUUAUUUUUUGUGUGAGUGUGCACGCACGUGUGCCAUAGCACACGUGUGGCAUACGUGUGGAGGUCCGAGGGCAACUUGUGGGAGUUGGUUUUUAUCUUCCAACAUCUGAGUGAGUCCUGAGGACAGAGGUCCAGUCAUCAAGAUGGGCAGCAAGACCUUUACAAGACGGGCUCUAUCACUAGCCCUGAUUAUUAGUGUUCUCCCCCUCCUCAUCAUCAUCAUUAGUGUUUGAAAUAUGGUCUCACUGUGUUACAGCCCAGGCUUGCCUCAAACUCAAGAGUGCCCAACUCCCUGAGACCCCAAAAGCAGCCUGCAGGGGAGGUUUUUGUGGCAUUAGCUUAGAAAGAUGAAUACCGUUCUCCCUGUUUGUUCACAGAGGUGCAGAGAAGGGGAGGCCCUAACUGUCUGAGACCUUUGUCCUUGGAUAGAAGAUACACCAGAUAACCUCAUCAGACGACGAGCCAAUCAGAGGAUGAUUCAAUCAGAGAGUGAGCCAGCUGGUGGCUAAUCUACUCAGUGGUUGAUCUCACCAAAAGCCAAUCCAAUCUAAUUGGUAGCUGAUUUGAUCAGUAGCUGAUGUCCUCUGUGGUGAUCCAUCAUUGACUAAUCUAAUCUGCUGCUUACCCAAUCAGAGGCCAGGACCAGUAUGUGUCCUCCUAAUCGAGGCAUGAUCCAAUUAGUGGUGGAUCUGUUCAGGAGUUGAUCCAAACAUUGUGAUCUAAAGGGACACGGGCUGGGAUAGAGAACUAGCUUUUCCCAAAGGGAGGCCCUAAAUGGGUUCUCUCUCUCUCUCUCUCUCUCUCUCUCUCUCUCUCUCUCUCUCUCUCUCUCUCUCUCUCCCCUCUCUCUCCCCUUGUCUUCCUCCCCCUCCUCCCUCCCUCCCUUUCUGGCAAGUGCUAUGCUAAGCUACAUUCCCAGAUCUUUUCUCUUUAAUUUGUUUUUAGUUUUUGGCAAGCCUGGGUCAGUGAUGCCCAAGCUGGCUGGCCUGGAACUCAAUGAGCAACCCAGACUGGCUUUAAACUUGUGAUCCUCUUGCCUCAGCCUCCUGAGCGCUGAGAUUACAGGCAUGCACCCCUGCGUCCAGCAGGAAGGUGAUAUUUUGCUGUCUAAUUUCUUGGUUUUCAAAGCAUCCCUGAAGCCUCACUUGCUGGGUGGCAGAGCUUGUGACCAUCUUCCAUGGGAAACCAAGGCUCAGGGGGAGCCAGGGAGGGUUCACCUUUUCUUUUCCUUUACAGUUUUUUGAUGAUUUUUGCUGGCCUGGAAUUCCUGGGUUCCUUUCCUCCCCUGUAGCUGGGAUCAUAGGCACACUGCAGUGCCUAGCUAAUCCUGCCUAGUAUGUAGGUUGUGCACACUACUUGAUUUCUAUGUUCAGACAUCUCCCCUUUGCUGGGUCUCUUACUGUAAGGGUCAACCCACUCCCCUCCUCCCUCUUGUCUCCCUCUGCCCUGAUCUUGCUGGAGAAUUUUUAAAGGGACAGCUCUGUCAGCAGGAUUGAGAGUAGAGGGAACCCAGGAGCCACAAACACCUGUAAAACCAAUUUAAAAAUCAGUCUAGCCAACCAGCCCCCAAAGGAGCCAAAGAGAACUACAGAGUAACUCAAAAGCAGACACUAAUGGAGGAGAAAAGAAAUGUAGUUACAUAUUCAUCAGGCUUUAAAUAUUCAUGAGGACUGUAAAGCAGAUUAAUUUUCAUGCCUCAUUUCUCCCAUGGUUCUCGCUGCCCAUAUUUUACUGCAGCAGCAGCAGGAAAAGCAGCUAUGGAUCGCCUGGCCUUGGCUCUGACCAACCCAGCCGGGCAGGGAGCUGCAGGGAGUGACUUUGGGAGUGAAUCAUUAAUCUCCUGAGGGACCAGGGUCCCUCCUGCUGGUUUGGGACAGUAUGAGAAAAGCAGGGAGCCUGCAAGGGUGGAGGGAGGAAUGGAGAUGUCUGAAGGCAGAAGGGUCUUUGUGCUGGGUCUCCCCCAGGGAAAAAGAGAAAGGACCCUCCCAGAGCCAGUCCGAGUUUCAUCUCAACUCUCCAAAGCUAAUUAAUUGCCCAUGACAAGAGAGCAGGGGAAGGAGAAGAGAGCAAGGGGCGAAGCAAGAAGUAGCACAAGUGAAGUGGAGCAACGGAAAGAAUGAUUGGUCCAGUUGGAGAGCCAUUAGCAUGAAACCACAGAAGGCAAAAGCAGUGUGGAUUGGGGCUAGCUAUCUAGCAGGACUUUCUGAUUCUAGGGCUUUUGGACCUUCUCUGGAUAUAUACCAUGCGUGAGGAGAGAGAGAGUGGUUGUCCUGGUCUGAGGGGGCAAGGUGGAGUCAGAGGAGAUGGAUGGGGUGUCAGCUUCCGAGUGUCAAGGUGAGCUACCCCACAGCGGCAAAUCUAGGCCACCAUCGAGAACCAGGGGAUUUUCAAGUUACGAGCCCCUGGGGACAAUUGCUGAUGCAGCUUCUUGGAGCUCCUGAAUGAUGUCCCUGGGUGAUGACACAUCUGUUUAAAUAAGGCCCGCCUUCUGGGGUUUGGACUAACUUCCUUGGAAUGGCAGGGAGGUAUAAGACCCAUGAUCUUCUGCAGGUCUUGCUGCCUCUGCAGAGGUCGGUAGAGGCUCCAACGACGUGCCCUUGGGCACCACCAACAGAAACAGCACCUCUUAUAGGGCUUCUUCCCUCUAGGCUCUGACUGAUCUGUCUGUCAUAGGCAUCCCAGGACUGAUUGUACAGUCAACCUGUCUCCACACCACUAAAGCUCUAUGAAUAUCAGUGACAUUAACGGUGACUUUGUUCUUCUAGGCCCCUCAGUUCAGUGAUGGCCCUGGCCCUGGCACCAUUGGUCUUUCAGCACAACACUCAGAAUCCCGCCCCUUCUCAGAAUCCCACCCCCUUUCAGAAUCCCACCCCUUUCUCAGAAUCUCUCCUCUUUUGGGAUCCCAUCCCUUUCUCGGAAUCCAGACCCUUUCAGAAUCCCGCCCCUGCUCAGAAUCGCACCCCCUUCAGAAUCCAGCCCCCUCCUCAGAAUCCCA
rnacentral:lncRNA from 1 species